rnacentral:rRNA from 1 species
GAUGAACGCUAGCGGCAGGCCUAACACAUGCAAGUCGAGGGGGAAGUUACUUUCGGGUAACAGAGACCGGCGUACGGGUGCGUAACGCGUAUACAAUCUGCCUUUCACUGGGGGAUAGCCCGAAGAAAUUUGGAUUAAUACCCCAUAGUAUAGUAAUACGGCAUCGUGAUACUAUUAAAGCUUAGGUGGUGAAAGAUGAGUAUGCGUUCUAUUAGUUAGUUGGAGAGGUAACGGCUCCCCAGGGCGAUGAUAGAUAGGGGUUCUGAGAGGGAUGUCCCCCACACUGGUACUGAGAUACGGACCAGACUCCUACGGGAGGCAGCAGUGAGGAAUAUUGGACAAUGGUCGGAAGACUGAUCCAGCCAUGCCGCGUGCAGGAUGAAGGUCUUAUGGAUUGUAAACUGCUUUUGUAAGGGAAGAAUAAGGGCUACGUGUAGUUUGAUGACGGUACCUUACGAAUAAGCAUCGGCUAACUCCGUGCCAGCAGCCGCGGUAAUACGGAGGAUGCGAGCGUUAUCCGGAAUCAUUGGGUUUAAAGGGUCUGUAGGCGGGCUGGUAAGUCAGAGGUGAAAGCGCUCAGCUCAACUGAGCAACUGCCUUUGAAACUGUUGGUCUUGAAUGGUUGUGAAGUAGUUGGAAUGUGUAGUGUAGCGGUGAAAUGCUUAGAUAUUACACAGAACACCGAUAGCGAAGGCAUAUUACUAACAAUUGAUUGACGCUGAUGGACGAAAGCGUGGGGAGCGAACAGG